CUACGAGAUGUUUGCUUAUCACAGCUGGUCUUCGCCGAAGUACACUCUGCUACCAGGUAUCUGCUCGUCACGACUGGUCUCGUCGAAGUAUAUCCCCCAAACAGAUUUCUUCUUUUUAAAUGUUUUGUCAAGGAACACGAUAGCAAAUUGACAAUGUGUUAUUUCAGAGAAGAAUCUCUCAUCAUCAAGUUUAUUUCAAGAAUUAAUGAUCCAAAAGAAAUCAAUGCAAUGAAAGUUACGUACCAUUUGCUUUGCAUGUCCAUUACUAUAAAGUUGAAGAGAUGAAGUCCAGCAAAUACUGCCCGCUCAUGCAUAUCCAUGUAUAUGAUAAAAGAUCCAUCAAGUUGUUAUCAUGGGAUUAAUGGUUGAAUGAGAGAGGACAAACAGAAAAAUCCAAGUUUAGAGUGUCGGCAUUAACUUGUGGAAAAAAGAGUUUUUAAGAGUGUGGAUGGAUGGAUAUACAUAUAGAAUGGGCCAAAACUGCAAAAGGAAGGAUGUGAU
rnacentral:lncRNA from 1 species